AGUGAACGCUGGCGGUAGGCCUAACACAUGCAAGUCGAACGGCAGCACAGUAAGAGCUUGCUCUUACGGGUGGCGAGUGGCGGACGGGUGAGGAAUACAUCGGAAUCUACUUUUUCGUGGGGGAUAACGUAGGGAAACUUACGCUAAUACCGCAUACGACCUACGGGUGAAAGCAGGGGUUCUUCGGACCUUGCGCGAUCGACUGAGCCGAUGUCGGCUUAGCUUGUUGGCGGGGUAAAGGCCCACCAAGGCGACUAUCCGUAGCUGGUCUGAGAGGAUGAUCAGCCACACUGGAACUGAGACACGGCCCAGACUCCUACGGGAGGAAGCAGUGGGGAAUAUUGGACAAUGGGCGCAAGCCUGAUCCAGCAAUACCGCGUGGGUGAAGAAGGCCUUCGGGUUGUAAAGCCCUUUUGUUGGGAAAGAAAAGCAGCAGGUUAAUACCCCGCUGUUCUGACGGUACCCAAAGAAUAAGCACCGGCUAACUUCGUG
rnacentral:rRNA from 1 species